rnacentral:rRNA from 1 species
AAGUGGAUAGUGAAACCUGGUGGCUCAACCAUUCAGACUAUUAUCCAAACUGCUAAGCUCGAGAAUGGUAGAGGUAGCUGGAAUUUCCUGUGUAGGAGUGAAAUCCGUAGAUAUAGGAAGGAACACCAAUGGCGUAGGCAGGCUACUGGACCAUUUCUGACGCUAAGGCACGAAAGCGUGGGGAGCGAACCGGAUUAGAUACCCGGGUAGUCCACGCCGUAAACGAUGGAUGCUA